UCACUGUUAAAAACAAAAUAUUACAUAAGGAUAUGCUUAUAAAAAUAAUUCACAAGUAGCUUUUCAAUUCAGAAAUGUAUGUGAAAAAUCAUCAAGCAUCUAAUGGAUUUCAAGGAGAAAUGGGUUAGUAAUUUAUUCCAUAUGUCUCAAUUUUUCCUAGACUCAAGUCUUACUUUAAAAUAAUUGUAGGCGUUUAAGAAACCAUGUGAACUAAAAAGAAGAAAUUGUGACACUGCCGCUUAGGUUUUUUAAAUCUUUGGACAUGAGUCAAUAUAUUUUUUAAUUUUAUCUUAAUUAGACAUUGUGAGUUCACCAUCUUCCUGUCAGUAUAGCAUCCAAGCUGAUUAUCAUAGAUUACAAGUUCAACUAUCAACUGUGUUCUGAGAGUCUAAAAAAAUAAAUGAAUGUAUUUGUUUGGGUAUUCUUAAAGCAGGAGUGAGGACACAGCGAAAGUGAGACAAGGAAGAGAGAACAAAAUAAAACAGGAAAGAUAGAAAAGCCAAUGCCACACGUGUUUAGAGGCAAGUUCCUGUGUUAGAUAUCUGGGCUUAAUUCUAUGGGAAGCUAUGUGGAACAUGCCUCAGAAUUACAUCACUGAAUCCAGGGAGAUUCUUCUUAGUUACCCUCACCUUUUCUUCCCACUUCAUGCCCAGUAUCAAGCUCCCAUGCUGCUAGAGAGAGUCCUCGGCUAGAAACAGGUGCAAAUUCUGGAGAUGAGACCUUGUAGAGUGUUAAGGAUGGUUUUCUUCACAGCAGCUACAGAUGAUCAAGAAGGGCUGCAGAAAGGAGGAAACAGAAACAAACAGCACACCUCUUGGUUUAUUUUUAUUCAUUUCAUCAGUUUCAAGGAAAAUGCGUUGGGAGUUCCUGGCAUAAAGAAUGUCACAAAGACAUGUUUUCAAUAGUGGUGCUAUCCCUAGGGCAGAGAAGACCCAGAGAAAGCCCAAGUGGCUGCUGCAACAAAGUCAGACACCGUGCCACCUGUCCACACUCCUUGCCUCUGCCAUCGUGCUGAAGAUCGGUUUAAAGGACUGGCUUCCCUCCCCCCGAAAUUAAAAGAGCACAAACUGAGAAACUGAAUGUAGGAGACAGCAGUGGAUUAUGCUGUUCCCAGGGGUCACCUCAGGUUUGGAAGCAUUCUUUCAAAUUAACCCAUCUCAGGCCAUCUGCAGAGAAGAAAGGUGGUACCUAACUUUUUUUCUUGUCAGCAUUUAGUAGCUGUGUUUUAUUGAACAAAUAAGUUCCCACAACCUAGUUUUUUGUAACUAAAUGUAGUAGAUUUUUAAAUUUUAUCAUCAAAAUCUAUGGACAAUUUUUGAUUAAAAUAGACUCCAUGUCUAUGUCCUGCUUUUCCUCUUAUUAAUUACAUUGUUGUAUAAAAGAACAAGACAUCAGAAUCAAGAAUAUCUUGUCUCUUGGCUUUGAAUUUAUACAAGGUGCUCUUUAAUGCUGUCUCAAAGGACAUAUUUUUACUCAUUAAAGAGAAGAUCGGAAUCGAGUUGUAUGCACUGCUCCAACAUAUUAAUAAUUAAAAUUAGGAGGUAAAUGUGGUCAAAGCUAUAGAAAGACUUGAGAUGUCAUUUAUAUUGAUUACUGUAUAGCACUCGACAAACAGAAAUGGUUAAAUAAUAGUUUAUAUAAAUAUUUUGUAGCAUUUCAAGUAUUUGAAUGCCUGAAGUUUCUCCUCUUAUAUAGUUCAGAUUAUCAAUUUGAAGACUUAUUCCGCUAGUUAAAAUGUUUUUAGUCUCGUUUGAGUAUUAUAUAAAAGCAAUUUUCAGUUAAAUGUGUUCCACUUACAUAAAACAUUACAAAUUGUGAGUAUUUAAUUACAUUUUCAUGUUCCUGUAAUGUCUUUAGAAGAUUUUCAUAUCAUUACCUAUCAAUAUAUGUAUGCUUUGUCAAAGAAAAGUCAAACAUAUAUAUCAUUGAAAUUGAAACUUUUUAAAAGUACUUAAUAAUUCUAUUGAAAAACCACAUCCAUAGGAACAAUUACAAUAUAAUAUUGUGAACAUGUAAAUAUAUAUCCUAUGUCUAUUUUAUAUAUAA
rnacentral:lncRNA from 10 species